rnacentral:lncRNA from 1 species
AGCAACACUAACAGCAACAUCUAAGCCAAUAAUCUUCACAACAUUUCAAAGCAUAAAGUGUAUAAUAGCAACAUUAUUGAUCGAUUAACAGCACUGAUCGAUUAAUAUAGUAACUCACUAGUUGAUUAACAUCACAAUAUUUCAAAACAUAAAGUGUAUAAAAGGAUAUCCAUAACAGUCCUCAACAACAAAACUAACAACAUUACAGCAUCUUAAGACCAGCGGAGUUCUUCUCCUUAUCUGACCCACACCGUAGCAUCAAUAAGCAAUAAGCCAAUAACACCUACUACAGUAACUAUCAUUCUACAACAAAAUAACAUGGUGCACUACAUGAACCGCACGAACAACUUUUAUUGGGACAAUUUAGGAACUAGGAUUGUAGUCUAUUUGCAGAUUGUCAUGGACAAUAAUUUCAGGCUGCAGGAAAUAUUUAUAUUAAUUAUAUAGUAGCAACAGCCAGCAACGCAAAAAGCCAAAAACAACAGCACAACCUAAAAGGCUAAAAUAGUAGCAACGUAACAACAAAAAAUGCAAAAACAAUAGCAGCUUAAAAGGCUAAAAUAAUAGCAGCCCACAAAAAAAUAAAAUAGUAGCAACAACAAGUCUUAGAAGUUAAAAUUCGACUAGGGCGAAUCAUCUCAAGUGUUUAAAGACGAAUCAACUUCUUCUUGUCUUUCAUAGAACACUUCUUAAAAUGUUUACGCAAAGAAAAUGUGCCACAUAUUUUCAGAUGAUAAUUGAAGGUUAAGCCACAUUUCAACAUCUUGAUUUACGCACUUCUUCAUUGUCUUGACUUACCUCAUAAUGUUUCCAAAUAGCCAAGUAAACUUUAGAUUUAAGAGGCAUCACUUGAACCUUCAACAUAAAAUAAAAAAUUAGAAUAUAACUUACAAUUUAUAAAAGGAUAUAACCAAACAAAUAAAGUAUUGAACUCACCAAUCAUCACCACUACUAACUACUAGCAAAUCACAAUCAUACAUCAACAAUGCACGAGCCUCGUCCACUAUUUGACAUCUCUAAAAUAAAAUUUAACAAAUAUGUUCUACUACAACAAAUAAGUAUUUUUUUUUUUUUUUGCAAAAACACACAUGAAAAAUACAAAGUCUUACCAAGUUCGAGUUUCUCAAGAAACUCCAAAUUUUCUUCAACACAAAUAGGACUAGUCUCUUGUCUAAGCCAAUUUUGAACACAAAUAAGGCAUUGCACAUAUUUAGAAGUCUACAAACUUCUAAAUGAAUCAAGAAUACGAUUGUUGAUGCUAAAUGCACAUUCCAAUGUCACACUUGACAUUGGAAUAGCCAAUACAUCAUGAGCCAACUGUGAAAGGACAUGAAACCUAGGAGAAUUAACUUUCCACCAUUUUAAGAUAUCAAAAUCCUCAAAUUCAGAUUCGGAUCUAGGCUCAGGCACAUGCUCUUGGUCUUCACCAAGGUAUUUAUCUAACCCUGAUUUAGUACGUCUGGUACUACCAGUCUACCACAAUCUUUCGAUUUUUUCUUCAUGUGAAGCUUAUUUCUCUAAGUGUUUGUCAUCAAAUUUUGAGGAAGACCAAAAUUAGAUGAAUCAGAUCUAGAUGAGGGAGAUGAAGCGUAUCCAGAUGAAGAUGAAUUAUUUUUAGAACCUUUUGAAUACUUUCUUACAUAAAAAGCAAACAAUCUUUCAAAUAAGUUUCUACUUCAUUACUUACUUUCUUUCCCGUUUCUUUCCGUAAUAGCUCUUCAAGCACAAAUCUUUUCAGGAGUCCCCCAAUAAGUCUUAAACUUUUCUUUCAUCUAUUGACAUCUAAUUUUUGUCCUCCACAACUAGGUUUAGUCCCGAUUUUCUUCGAUUUUCAAAUAAUAUUAUACUAUUUAUUUUAUCCGAAUAAAAAACUUUUCAAAUUAUUUAUCUGAGUAAUUUUGCUAUUUUAAGUAGCAAUUAUAUAUCAUCGUAUAUAAUUAUACGAAAUUAUAUAAUUUUUUUACUUAGAUAUUUAUUUUACGAAAUAUCAAAUUUUAAUCAAAGCUUAUCUUAAAAGUUAAUUCAAAUGGGUAAAAUCUUGAUCUAAAUAUGAUUUGUUCUAAAAAAUAAUUUAUUUGGAGAAAUAUUUAUUUGAUUUUAUCUAAUCAAGAAGCUUAGGAUUAAAGGAAGUAUUAAUUCGUAUCGAAUUUCAAUUUAAUUUAGCCAAUCUAUUGAAUUUGGCCAUAAUUAAAAUCAAAUCGGCCAUAAUUGGAAUGCAAUCCGUCAAUUGAUUUUCAAUUUGGUCAAAAUUAAAUAAGUUUGACUAAAUUUUAAAUCAUAAUUGGGGUUAUAUUUUAAAUAAUUUCAAAAUCCCCCCAAAAUGACCUAAAUCUACCUAUUCAAAUUGAAUUUCAAAUUUGUACUAGAUAGUACAAUUCCACCUCAAUCUUGCCUUUUUUCAAAUUUGAAUUUUAAAAUUUGUACUAGAUUGUACAAUUCUACCUCAACCUUGUUCUUUUUUCAAUUUGAAUUUCAAAAUUUGUACUAGAUUGUAUAGUUUCACUCCAACCUUGUUCUUUUUUCAAUUUGAAUUUCAAAAUUUGUACUAGAUUGUAUAAUUCCACCCCAACCUUGUCUUUUUUUCAAUUUAAAUUUCAAAACUUGUACUAGGUUGUACAAUCACCUCAAUCUUAUUAUUUUUCCACAUUUGAAAUUCAAAUUUUAAAUUCAAAAUUUGCAGUAGAUUGUACAAUUCCAACUCACCUUAUCCUCCAACAAACCUUACCCUCAAUUUUCAAAUUUCUCAAAAAACCCCUAAAUUCUUUCUCCCACAUUGGUGGAUUCAAAGAAUUGAAUCUCCAUCAUUUCCUAUAAUACUAUCACUAUUUUGAUAGAAAGUCAAAAAGUCUCAAAGAGUGAAAAAAAAAAAUCUUUGAGCAAAUAAUUAAAUUUCUUUUCUUUAGUAAAAUUUUUCAAGUGGUAGUCUAAUUGGGGUUCUCGAAAGAUUAUUUUUCAGUGGUGAUCAAGACUCCGAAGAAAGCUUGAAGUCCCGUUUUGCUGCUCCAAAAAAGUUAAACACACCUUUCCCCUUUUAGUUUUAUUAUCGUUUUCUUCUUCAUCUCUUUUUUCUUCUUAAUUCGUAGUUGUAAUUUUGUUUAUUGGGAUUGCUUGCAGUAGACGACCUUGAAGGCCAUAGGACGUUGUGUAUCGAUAUUAUGGUUAUUUUCAUGCUCAUGGUAUAAAAAUGAGCUAGCAAUAGUUGAACGUAUUUUGUUGACUUUAUUCUUUGAUUAUUAUUGAUAAAGUUUUUAUCUUUGUUUAAAAUAUGUACUCAUGAUUUGUUUAAAUUCAUUGUUAGCGUAUAUAUUUGUUUUUAGCAUGUAAAGUUGUUUCCUUUAUGUUGAAAAGAAUAGUUAAUAUUGAUUGUUUCGCCUUUUACCUUUAUUCUUUGAUUAUUAUGAAUAAAGUUUUGAUCUUUGCUUGAAAUGCAUGCUCAUACUUUGUUUAAAUUUGUUAUUGGUAGAUAUGUUUACUUUUAGUAUGUAAAGUUGUUUCCUUUAUAUCGAAAAGGAAUGGUUACUAUUGUUAAGGAUCUGUGAAAUUGUUUCUCAAUUUGAAGUAGUGAGUUACUUAUUUUUAUGGUCAAAACUGUCUUUGAUUUACUCUUAUUUAGAUUGAAAAGUUGUUAGGGUCAUAGAUUUUGUUGAAAUGGUGUAGACCUACAAUAGGAGUUAGCAUAAUUGGACACUUUUUCUUAGAAUUAAUAUUUUACUAUUUCUUUCAUUUUGUCUUCGAAUAUCAUUUCUCAAAUAUGCUUAAUAUAUGCUAUUAGUUUCACUUUGCUUAUUGGUUUACUUCUUAAAGUGUUUUAUUCAUUUAUACGUCGCAUUGUUAUUCACAUGUUAUAGUAAAUUUUUCUUCUAAAUUAUAAAUAUGUUGAUUGACUCCACUUUGUAUUGAAAAAGUGUCGUUACAUUAGUAUGUCUUAUAUUUCAUAUUUGAGGUGCUAUGAAAGAUUUCCUCAUCUCUUGCUUAUUCUUUUUUUCUUUGCUUAAUGAAAACAUGCCUAAGUGUAAGACCCCGCAAAAUUUCUAAGAUUAAUUCAGUCCUUUAAGCUUGUCAAGGGGUCCCAUACUUUAAGAAAAAAAAAAAAAUUCUAACUAAGUUCCCAGGCUUAGCCUAUUAUUGGCCUUCGAAAGUUGGCAAUCUCAUUUUGCCACCUUAACAUCCUUUAAUAGUCUGUAUUUUUGUUAAUUCAUGAUCAGAGAGGUCCAUAGGUGGUUCCGGACAAAUUUUGGAUUUUUUGGACCACGUUUGGAAGCCCCAAGUAGUGAACCGAUGCGAUCUUGGCACGCCGUAUCACCAAUCGCGUUGGUUGAUAUUAUUGCAGGUUGCCAGGGUCAAAGUACUGAGACUUGAUGCAAUAAUGGCACGACGCGUCGACUAUCGCGUCAUGCCAUCGACGCGCCGCGUCGAUAAUAGCGUUGAUACCCAAUUUCAGUCAUUAAAUGUCUGCAUUUUUAAGAGAAGAAGGGUCAAUUUACCACCCCUAUAUAAGUCUAAAAAUCGGAAUUUAGCCCCAAUUCAACCAAAAUAUAGUGUCUCUCUCAAGAAAAAGUUAGGGUUUUCAAUUAAGGAUUCAAAUUCAAUACUCAAAUUCAAGAAUCUCUCCAUCAGUCAUCGUAAAAUCAAGAACUAAGGUAUGUCAAGUGUUGAUUUAUGGAUUCCUUUCAUCCAUGAAGUCCAAGAACCCUCUUUCAAAUUAUAAAACCUGAUAUUUAUGUUGCGGGUUAUUUGUAACCAUGUUUAUCUUGUUGUAUGAUUCCCAAUUUAGAAUUUUUAUGUGUUUUUUAUGAAACUACGUUAGCAUGGAAGUUGAAAUCCAUGAAAUUGAGUUGUUUAUGAUGUGUAAGUUAAUGAUUGCACCUAUGCCCUAAGCUAUGCAUGUAAGGUGUUUGACAAAAUGCCUAAGAGGAUAGAAAUUGUGUAUUAUAGCUCAAUUGUGACUCAAAUAAUAAAUGCAUGCUUUACCCUUAUGACCAAGAAUGACUUCCAUGAUAUUGUGUGCAUUAUGAGUAUUUGAUGGAAUGUUCAUGAGAUUAGGUUGAUGAAAGUAUGACAUGUCUAUUUGCAAUUUCAUCCAUAUACAACAUUAAGAUAACCAUGUGCUUCAUUAAAUUCCCAACUUAUUGUAUUAUGAAUUGUUGAUGUUGGUCACGUGUUCAAGAAGUGUCAAGUCUUGUCAGUUUCAUGCUAUCGAGUCCUGGGGGUACUUGUACUUGACAAUUUAGCUGUGUGCCUAGAGCUAGUGUCAGUUUUCAUGAUACUCUCAAUCAAGUCAUGAUCAUUAGAAUUCAGUCAGUUACAUGACUCAGGAAAACUCAGUAAUUUCAGUACUCUCGGUAAUCUCAGUAACCUCAAUAAUCUCAGUAAUCUCAGUCAGUUAUCAGAUCUCAGUAGUAUUCCGUCAGUCAACAAAAAUUUAGUGAACUCUGUUCAAAUCAACUAAACAAUACUAUCAGUAAUAGUUUAGUUCAAUUUAAACCAUUUCAGUGUCUCUUCAGUUGGGAGUAGGAUUCAGCACCGAGUGAACCCAAAGAUGGGGACUCACCUGUUAGCCAGUAGAGGGUGUAAUCCUUGCAUUCCAAAACUACGUAGCCAGCAUAGGUUGAGAUGUACCCUACUAGUUUAGGGAUUAUACACCUCAUUCGAGUUUUCCUACUAGGAGGGGUUGACGGAAGAGCUUCCUGUUAGAGAGGGUUUACUCACAGCUUGUCUUUACCCGUGGUAUGGUACUGGCACCUUUCCAGCUGGGGUUACAGGUUGGACCCCACCAAUUCAGUUUUGGGGCAUAUCAGUUAGAUGAUUACCUCCUACAGUCUCAGUUUUAAAUCCAGUCUCAGUAAUAAAACUCAAUUUAGUUCUAUAGUUUCAGGACUGUCAGAUACAGUCGCUCAACUCAAUACGGAACUCAACUAGUUCUAUCAGAAUCAAGACUGCCAGACACAGUCAUCCAGUUAAUAAUAUAUUAAUUAUACAAAAUUCAUGUUACCAGUAUUCAGAUUUCAGGACUGUCAGAUACAGUCAAUCAAACUAGUUUUUCAUAAUCAGAACUGUCAGAAACAAUCAUUUCUUUAUCAGUAAUAUGACAUCAGUUCCUCAGUACUAAAUGGACUUAGUCAUUUAGUAUCCCAGUAUUAGUACUCAGAUAUCAGUAAAUCCACGUUAUCAGAAUUCAUAAGUUAGUGUUAUCAUGAUCUCAGUUACAGUUACGUAUUCAUGCAUGUAUUUUCAUGUUCAUGUUAUUCAAUCAAUUAGUAUUGUUCAUGCAUAUGAACCAUUGCAUUCAGCCUACCUCACUUGCAUACCAGUACAUUCAAUCGUACUGACGUAUUUUCACUAUGUUGUUUUAUACAAUAGGUUCAGAAGCACGCACUCCAGAGUAUCAGUAGCAUUCUAGUUUCAGCAGUUAGAAUCAGCAGUGAGUCCUCAUCAUCCGAGGAUGUUAUUAUUUGAUUAUUUAAUUUUUUAGUACUUAUUUUAUUUUAGUAGAUAGAGUUAGUUGGGGGAUUAUCCCAUCAACUCUUUAUUCAGACAAUUCAGUUUUAGAGGCUUUCAGACUACAACACGUUCAGACAGUUAUUUCAGUUAUUUUGGUAUUGUUAUACCAUAUUUUUAGUUAUGUAUCAGUAUUGAACCUUAUGGCCUUUCAGUUCAUGUUUUCACAUUUAUGAUAUUAUUAUUAUUAUUCAGUGCUCAGUUACAGAUAUCAGUCAUGGAUUAUCUUGUGGUCCUUUGGGAUAACGAGCAUUGUGUAGAAUUUUGGGUAUUAGAUUUGGGGCAUUACAAACUUGGUAUCAGAGCCUAAGGUUCAACAGUAUCCAAGAAAGUCUGAAAAGCCGCAUCUAGUAGAGUCUUGUACAUGGGUGUGUUAUGCACCACACUUAUGUGUAAGAGAUUAUGAGAUAUUUUAGGAACAGUUUCCCUUCUUUCAGUAUUUAUGUCGUGCGAGUGAGUAUGAGUUCCAUCCAAACUCUCAGUUUAAUCCUUUUUUCUCUUUCAUUUACAGAAUAUGCCUCUAAAGAGGACUCAGGAAAGAGGAAUGGGAGAUCAGCCAGCCCCUCAUCCCGAUUAGCCUAACCCUUUAGGCGAAUAUGUCUCUCAUACAGAAUUCAGGACUGCAUUUACUACUCUAGCCAAUUUAGUCACAGCUCAGAAUGACCGGUCAGCUGCUAUUUCGGCCAACCCAGUGGCCAAUUCUUCUAUAUCUAGGAUUCGAGACUUUACCCGAAUGAAUCCUCCUCUAUUCUUAGGUUCUAAGUCCGAAGAGGAUCCACAAGAGUUCCUUGAUCAAGUUCAUAAAGUCACAGAUAUCAUGGAAGUGACUUCCAAUGAGAGUACAGAGUUAGCUGCCUAUCAGCUACAAGAUGUAGCCCAUACGUGGUUUAAGCAGUGAAAGGUAGAUAGGGGUGCAGAUGUAGAGCCCAUAGAGUGGGAAGAGUUUGCUAUGACCUUCUUAGGUAGAUUCUUUCCCCUAGAAUAGCAAGAAGCCAAAGUGUUAGUGUUCAUCAACCUUAGACAAGGUAGCAUGAGCGUAAAAGAAUACUCCCUCAAGUUCACUCAGUUUGCCAGGUACGCUCCCCAUGUAGUAGCAGACAGUAGAUCUAGAAUGAAUAAGUUUAUGUCUGGGAUAUCAGGUAGAGUGGUUAAGGAGUGCAGGACUGUGAUGUUGAUUAAGGAGAUGGACAUAUCUAGGAUUAUGGUCCAUGCUUAAUAGAUUGAGGAGCAGAAACUUAUGAAGGAGAGGGAAAAUAAGAAAGCCACAACUGGUAGUUAUAGUUUUUCUCAGCCAGGGUCGCAGGUGGUAACCAUUUUCAGCAUAGACAGAAGUUUCCAACCCUAGUUCCAUCUUCAUCUAGUGUACCAACACCAAUGUUCAGAAAUAAUUGUAGAGAUGGGGUACCAGGCUCCAAGGCCCAUGGUAGUGAGGGCAGGGUUUUUACUCAUCCACUGUGCAAAGAGUGUGGUAAGCAUUAUAAGGGUAUAUGUAGAGCUGACAGUGAUGUGUAUUUCAGAUGUGGCGAGUCAGGUCAUAAGGUCUGAGAUUGUCCUAGGACUGGCCCUAAAAGCAAGCACGACACUCCUUCAGUUCAGUCCGGUCGCUCAAAUCAGCAGGGUGCCAGUUCCAGUGCUAUCAGUGGGCAACGACCAAACAACAUCUAUGCACUUCAGUCCCGAUAGGAUCAGUAAAGUCCUCCUGGUGCAGCCACUGGUAUGUACAGGUCCCUCAUUUAUGUGUUCACGUUUCUUUAGAUUUAGGAGCUCCUUUUUUCUUUUAUAACUCCUUUCAUAGUAGUCAAUUUUAAGGCCAGACCAAAUAUUAACAGGACCUUUUCCAGUAUUUACCCCAAUGAGUUAGUGUAACACAGCCCGAUGGUAUUCAGUAACUGUUCGGUUAUGAUAUCUCAGAAAUUUAGGCCUUUAGAUUUUAGUAGUAAUGCCAGUAUGUGUAUAAAAUUAAUAAGGGAAGAUGAUUCUCGACCCAUUCUUACCUCAGUGUAAAGUUUUGUACUUCAACCCUCCCGAUAUUUACACAUGCUUUAUGUUUCAGUCCCACGAAUACAACUUAUAUCCAUGCACUUUUCAUAGAAUAGUGUGUGUUUUAAGUUUCUCGUAUGAGGAGUCCAAGUUCAUCCAAUGUUGCGAAUCAUGUUCCACGAAUUCAGAAAUUCCAAACCUAAUUCGUGCAGCUCAUGACUCAUGCACUCAUGUCAUGCUUUACAGUAUGCGUAGCCCACACGAUUCAUGACUUCACUCCUAGUGUUCAGUCAAACUCAGAUUAUGCCACGUAUACCCUUAGUUUAGAUCCACCGAUGAAUCAGUAGUGUUGAUGUUCCAUCCUGCAGGCCUUAGAUACAGUGUCAGUUCAGUAAUUAAUAUUUAGUAAAGGACUCAGAUAGUCCUACAGAACCAUGGCUUUCAGCUAUUAGUUACUUAGCUAUCAGAAUUCAGUACUCCCAUACCAGUCUAACCCUCAGUUAUAGAAAACCAAUAUUCAGUCUCAGUUACAGUCUUAGUUACGGUUACAGUCUUAAUUACCAUCUUAACUACAAUCUCAAUCCCAGUCCUAGUCCAGUUAGAUCAGAAACUCAGUCCAGUUUCAAGAUUUCCCGACCAUAGUAUAUGGCCAUCAGUUACUCAGAUAUUAGUAUUUCAGUACCUCAGUUUAUAGAAUGUUCUCGAAUCAUGUUAGAUGCCUGGUCUUGCAUUCCUAACAUAAUAAAAUUUUCCCUCACUCAUGCUUAGUUACCUCAUGUUACCCAGUUAGUCAUUACCUUCUAUGCAUAACACUCUAUAGUUUUAGUCCAGCUAUCCCAAAUCAAAUGCAGUUCAGUUUUACAUAUCAGUAUUCAGCUAUUAGUCAUUCAGUUAAUUAGAUAAAUUAGUAUAUCCAUGCAUUCGUGCUCAGCGCCCAUGUGAAUCUCUUUAGUAGUCUCAGUUUUAGUGCAUAAGGUUUAGUCACCUUAUCUUAGACGAUGUUUCAUAGGCCUUGCCUCCUAAUACAAAAAAAUCCCAGCCAUGUAGCGAUCUCCUAUUUAGAUGUCCUACUUAGGCCAGACCAAGAUUUGUUUUCUCCCUUCUUAGGAAUGUACCUGUUCCAAGAUAGAAAGUCCCAGUAGUUACAAGAUCAGCUUAGUUCAUAUAUCAUGUCUUAGCUUUAGAUCCCAUAUAUUCAGUCGCGAUUCAGUUUAUAGGUACCCUGUGCAUCGUCCCAGUUUUUCUUAGUAUCUCAGUUAAAUAUAUAUUUUUCUAGGGACAUAAUGUUCGAUGGGGGAGAUACACGAUAAUUCCCCAAACUCUCAUGACAAAAACAUGCCAUUAUCUCUCCUCAUAAUGAAUCUAGUUUGGAGUAAGAGGGUACUUAUAAGUUGACCCUCAACCCCCGAACUCAUCUGUAAGCCAUAUAUUCAAGGUGCUCAAUUCAGAUCAUCAUAAUCCAGCUCAUGUAUCACGUUCCAGACUCAGUUACGUUCUCAUGUUUCCACUCAUGCAUAAUUAGUAAUUAAUCUCAGACUCAUCAGUAUUUUCAGUUUAAUGUAACAGUCUUUCUGAAACUCAUUCAGUUUUAUGUUUAGAUUUUAGUUUCAAACUCAGCAUUCAGUUCCAUGUUCAGAUUCUUAUUAUAAACUUGUUAUCAAAUACAAUUUCCUAUUCAGUCAUGCAUUCAUGUAUUGGUUCAGCCAUAUAAUCAUGCAUUAGACAUACAUUCACAUCGUGAGAAACUCAGCUUAUUAGAAAUCUCAGUCAUGCAUUCAUAAACCAGUUAGUCAUGCAUCAGAUAUGUAUGUUCAAUAUGAUACAUUUGGCUUAUCAGUUAUGCUAGUCAUGAAGUUAUGUCUCUAUUGUUCAUUUUCAAUAUGUACUUCACUUUAUCAUUUCUCCCCUCUCAGCCAGUCUCAUUCGAGGAUGAAUAUUCCUAAGGGGGACAUAUUGUAAGACCUUAUAAAAUUUCAAAGCUUAAUUCAGUCCUUUAAGAUUAUCAAGGGAUCCCAGACGUAAAAAAAUAAAAUAAAUUCUAACUAAGUUCCCAAACUUAGCCUAUUAUUGGACUUCAAAAGUUGGCAAUCUCAUUUCGCCACCUUAAUUUUAUGGUUAUGUUUUAAUUUAUGUUAUGUUUAACUGCAAGUCUAGAGCCCAUAUCGGUUUUUACGAUAAUCUCAGUCAAGCCAUGAUUCUUAGAACUCAGUUAAUCACAGAACUCAGCACUCUCAGACAGUUACAGAACUUAGAAAAUCUCAGCAAUCUAAGUAUCAUUAGCAUUCCAGCCUCAGUUCAGUACUCAACUCAGAUCUUAGUAGUAUCCAAGUGUUUAGUUCAGACCUCAGUAACAUUAUAGUAAUCAAUUCAGAAUUCAGUAUUAUUCAGUCAGAUAAAGAGAUCCAGUAGUAUUUCGUCAGUCUUCAGAACCAAGUGAACUCAUCUUAAAUCAGUAGAUCAGUAUGCUCGGUAACAAAUUCAGCUCAGUCUAAGUUCAGUUAAGAAUAUGUUUAGAGUCUUUCAGUUGGGAGUAGUAACUAGCACCGAGCGAGUACAGGGAUGGCAUAUUCCCCGUUAGAGAGGCAGAGUCAUUAGUAACAAUCCCUGAAUUCCAGAACUCCAUAGCCAGCGCAGGACUAGUAGUUACCCGUUAGAUUAAGGCUUAACUAUCAUAUUUCCUUAGGCUUGACUUCAUGUUCAGGGCCACCCGUUAUAGAGGCUUGAAAAUAGUAGAAGGAUUUUCCCGUGGCACGGUAUUGACACCCUUUCAACUAGGGUUACAGGUUGGACCUCACUAGUUUAGAGUUGGGGCACGUUGGUUAAGUGAGAAAUCCUACAGUUACAAUUCAGUCUCUGUUAUCAUAGUAGCACUCAUAUAUAUGAACUGUCAGAUACAUUCAUUCAACUCAGUGAGGAACUUAGAUAGUUCCAUAGAUUCAUAGACCACCUGCUAGAAAGGCCUGGUCUUACAUAAAGUUAACCAAUAUCAAUACUAAUCGAUUCAGAGAUCGCCCACUGAUAGGCUUGAUCUCAAACUUAGAUUCAAUCAUUCCUUAUCAUUAUUACUAGAUUUAAAGAUCAUCCGCUAUAUAGGUUUGAUCUCAGUUUCAGUCAGUCGAUAUUAGUAAGCUCAGAAUUUAGUCAUCAGUAGACUCGAUUAUUCAGACUUUUAGUGUUAGUAAAUAUAAAUAUCAGUAUUAGUAGACUCAGUUGUUUGAAGUUCAAGUAUUUAGAAGGUAGUAUUCAGUCCAUACAUGUAUCCUCAUUCAGUACUCUCAUGUUAUUUAGUUAAGUUAUGUUCAUGCAUAAGCCCUUGCCUUUAGCCUUACCUCAUCUAGCAAACCAGUACAUUGAAAGUACUGAUGCAUACUUUUCUCUUGUGCUAUGGUGUCUUAUACCAUAGGUUCAGAUGAGCGAGAACCAGAUCACCCUUAGCAGUCCCGACUCAGCCAGCAGCAGUUGACUUAGCAGUGAGUCUUUAUCAUUCAAGGAUGAUCCUUAUUUUACUAUGGCAUUAGACUCAGUUUAUUUUCAGUAGAUGGAGUUAGUUGGGAACAUGUCCCAUCAACUCCACAGUUCAGAUAGUUUAGAGGCUUUUCAGAUAGAUGUAUCAUUAUUUAGUUUUUAGUAUUGAUUAUUUUAGAUAUUUGAACCUUAUGGCAAGUUUCCAAUAGUUUUUCAUAUUUAUUUCAGUAUAUUAUGUAGUGCUCAGUUACAGAUAUUAGAAAGGGUUAGCUUGUGGUCCCUCGGGGUCAUGAGCAUCGUGUGGCGUAUUGGUUCUAGAAAAUUAGAGCGUUACAAACUUGGUAUCAAAGUCUAAGGUUUAAUAGUGUCCUAGGAAGUUUGAAAGCUACAUCUAGUAGAGUCUUGUGCAUGGGUGUGUUGUGCACCACAUUUAUGUAUGGGAGGCUAUAAGAUGUUUUAGGAAUAGUUUCCCUUCUUUUAGUGUUCAUGUCAUGCGAGUAUGCAUAAGUUCCAGUUAAUUCUCAGUCUGAUCCAUUCUUUCUUUCAUUUACAGAAGAUGCCUCCUCGUAGAGCCAAUGCCCGUAGGGAUGACAACCAGCCAUCCCAGCUCGUAGAUCCUGAGAAUGAGAAUGUGUCAUAUACAGAGUUUUGGGUAUCUUUUCAGGUGCUAGCCCAAGCUGUGAUGACUAAUGUUCUGGGGAAUCAUCAGGAUACAGCCUCACCUCAGCAAGAUGGGGAUUCAGCCACGGCCAGAAUUAGAAAUUUCAUGAGAAUGAACCCACCAAAAUUGUUUGGGUCAGUAGCAGGUGAGGACCCACAACUUUAUUUUGAAGAGGUAAAGAAGAUCAUCCAGAUUAUGCAUAUGUAUGAGAAAUAGAGUGUAUAAUUAUUAUCCUAUAGUUUAAGGAUAUUGCUCAUGAUUUGGUUAUAGAGUGGAAGAAGAGUAGAGGGAAGGAUGCAUCUCCCAUGACUUGGUAGGUAUUUCAAGACGCUUUUCUAGAUAAGUUUUUCUUGCUAGAGAUGAGAGAAGCUAAGGUAGAAAAUUUUAUGAACCUAAGGCAAGGAUCCAUGAUAGUAAAGGAGUAUUGUCUUAAGUUUAACCAGUUAGCUAAGUAUGCUCCCGAUUUGAUAACUGACCCUAGAGCGAGUAUGAGUAAGUUUAUGACUGGUGUAUCUGGGUUUGUGUUGAAGGAGUGGAGGACUGAUAUGCUUAAUAGAUACUUGGAUCUUCCUAGGUUAAUGAUGCAUACUCAGCAGAUAGAGAUAGAUAAAUCUAAAGAGAGAGAGAGAUCUAACAAGAGAUCCAGAACAGGUAGUUACAACUUUUCUAAGGCUGGGUCACAGGAUGGUAGUCGUUCUUAGCAUAGCCAAAAAUUUUUAGUUCCAUCUCCAUCCUCAACUAGUUUACCCACACCAAAGUUUGGGGAUGUUAGUCAUGAUGGGGCGCCAGGAUCCAAAACCCAAGGUAGUACCAGCAGUGUUAGUACCUAUUCGCUUUGUAGAGAGUGUGUCAAGAAUCACCUAGGUGUGUGUAAAGCAAAUAGUCAGGUAUGUUUUGGAUGUGGUAAUCCAGGCCACAAAAUAUAGGAGUGUAUAGUUCUAGCUCAGAAGGGUAGAGAUUCACUUCAGCAGGGCACCACUCCUAGUACUACUAGCGGUCAGUAUCAGAAUCGACUCUAUGUAAUUCAGACUCGCCAUGACCAGAAAGGUUCCCCUAACAUAGAUUCGGGUACGUUAUAAGUACUUUAUAUUAAUGAUAUGCAUUGUUAUAUACCUUGCUCCUAUUUGAGCUUAUGUUUCAGCAUGAUUCAGUUAGCAACGCCAGCAAGUCAGUUUAGCAGUCAGACAGUCAGAUUCGUAUAGUUUGUUUUCUCAUCUUUCCAUCUAGUCAUGCUAUCAGCAGUCUUAGGAAUAUAAAUUUUCUAAGGUAGAAAGUCCUAGUAGUUGCAAGAUAAGUUCAGUUCAUGAGUCCUGCAUUAGUUUCAGCUCUCUGAGAUUUAGUUAUGAUCCAGUCUGUAGAUGCCUUAUGUAUCGCCCUAAUAUAUCAGUUAAGUAAGCAUUCUUAGAGGGACAUAGUGUCCCAAGGGGGAAAUAUCCUAUAACUCUCCAACGUUUUCCAUUCCUUAAACCCAUUCAGUUUUAUGCUCAGAUUCUCAUUAUAAGCUUUGCAUCAGUUAUCAUUGCAUAAUCAGUUAAGCAUUCCAAAGUCAGUUCAGUCAAGUAUCCAUACAUUAGAUAUGAAUGUUUAGUAGAAAAUCUCAGCUUAUUACUGUAUUCAGUUAUGCAUUCAUGAGGAAAACUCGGUCAUGAAUCCAUGCAUCAGAUAUGUAUUUCUAUUAUGAGAGUUCAACUUAUGAGUAGCUUCAGUCGUGUAUUCCAUGCAUCAGAUAUACAUAUUUGGUAUAAAAAUUUAACUUGUCAGUAGUUUCAGUCAUAUUAUCAUGUUUCACAUGCUCAUAUCCAGCAAGUAAGUUCCACCUGCUAGUAUUCUUAGCUUAAUCAGUCUCAUUCGAAGACGAAUGUUCCCAAGGGUGAGAUAUUGUAAUACCCCACACUUCUCCUAAUUCAAAUUCAUCUCUAGAACAUCAAAGCUCUUGCUUCAAAGAUGAAUAUAUUUUAUUUUAUGUGAAAUUAUUAAGAUUUUGACUUUUUAUCACAUGAGAAAUCGAAUAAGAUUUCCAUCGAUACUAAAUUUGCCCAAAUUCGAUACUCGGGCAAAGAGUUAGAGCUAUUUUAGUAAGACAGUGUACCACCUGGUACUUUGGCGCGUCGCGGAGUCAGUCAAAAUAGAAAUCAUCAAAAUCUAGUGAGCCUUCAUGAUUAUGGCGUGUUGUGCCAAGGCUCAGUUUUCCAAUUGUCCAAUUUCCAUUGAGCUAGCGGGAUUUCACCGCAUUGCGCCAGGAUGAGAAAUUUGGGAUUUUCAAAUUUCGUUUUAAAAUUUCAAGGACCAAUUGGUAAUUUCCUAAAGCUCCAAAUCAGUCAAUAUAAGGGAUUUAUACCCUAAAUAAUGAGAAUACUUCAUUAUUCAUCAAUUUUUCCCCAAAUCAAAAUAUUUUCUCUCUUAAGAAGUCAAGAACCCUAGCCAAGAAAUCAAGAAUGAGCCUAAGGAUUUCUUCAAGAACCUUCAAGAAAGAGUCUUCUAAGGAAUGUUAGAUGUUGAUUCUUGGGUUCCUUCCACCCAAGAAGUUCAAGAAUCCCUUUUUAAAUUCAAAGAUUACGAUUUUAUGAGUUUUCAUGCUUCAUGUGAAUUAAAGUUCAUGUUCAUGUUAUUGUUGAGAUAUAGUUCAUGCUUUAAAAUACAAGUUGCAAGAUUUGAUCUUGAUUUGAGUUGAAUUGCAUUAUGUCCAUGUUAAAUCUCUAAAUUUGCAUGUUGAUUGAUGUAUUUAUAAUAAUUAGGUGUAGAAAUUGUUGAAUAACCAAAGCAUGCUCCCCAUAUGUUUGAUAAAAUGUUUGUGUGAAAGAAAUAGGACCAUUAUAGCAUGUUUAGAAGAAAUCCCCAAUUAUGUAUUGGCCCAUGCAUGCCAGGUGUUCGUUGAAAAGCCUUAGGGAAUGAAUUAUGACAUGUUAGCAUGAAAUACCCCAAUUAUGUGUUCUUUAAUGCAUGUUAAGUGUUUGAUGUACGACCUUGUUGAAUGGAGUAUGAGCCAAUAAUCUGUCUCCCUAAACCAUCACAUGUUUAUGAUUUUCAAGUGCUUGAAGAGAUGCUUUAAUAAUUGUAAUGGUGAAUGAAAGUCCAUGGUCAUGAUUAUUCAAGAAUGGUUAUGUUUUAAUUUUAUGUUAUCGAGUCCUGGGGGUAUUUAUACCUGACAUUUUAGCUGCAAGUCUAGAGCCCAUGUUGGCACGAUAAUCUCAGUCAAGCCAUGAUUCUUAGAACUCAGUUAAUUACAAAUCUCAACACUCUCAGACAGUUAUAGAGCUUAAGAAAUCUCAGUAAUCUAAGUAUCAUUAGCAUUCCAGCCUCAGUUCUAUAAUCAACUCAGAUCUUAGUAGUAUCUAAGUGUUCAGUUCAGACCUCAGUAACAUUCAAGUAAUCAAUUCAGAACUCAGUAUUAUUUAGUUAGAUAACGAGAUCCAUUAGUGUUCCGUCAGUCUUUAAAACCAAGUGAACUCAUCUUAACUCAGUUGAUCAGUAUGCUCAGUAACAAAUUCAGCUCAGUUUAAGUUCAGUUAAGAAUAAGUUCAGAGUCCUUCAGUUGGGAGUAGUAACUAGAACCGAGCGAGUGUAGGGAUGAUGGCUUCCCCGUUAGAGAGGUAGAGUCAUUAGUAAUAAUCCCUGAAUUCCAGAACUGCGUAGCCAGCAUAGGACCAAAAGUCACCCGUUAGAUUAAGGCUUGACUAUCAUACUGCCCUAGGCUUGACUUUCUAUUCAAGGUCACCCGUUAGAGAGGCUUGACCAAAGCAGAGGUCUUUACCCGUGGCACGGUAUUGACACCCUUACAACUGGGGUUACAAGUUAGACCCGACUAGUUCAGAGUUGGGGCAUUUCAAUUGAGAACUCCCGCAUUUAUAGUUCAGUAUUAGUCGUUGCAAUAGCACUAAAAAAUUAGGACUAUCAAAUACAGUCAUUCAGCUCAGCGAGAAACUUUAGUAGUUCCAUAGAUUCAUAGAACACCCGCUAGAAAGGCCUGGUCUUACAUGAAAUUAACCAGUAUUAGUACUAAUAGAUUCUGAGAUCACCCGCUAGAUAGGCCUGAUCUCAAACUCGGAUUCAAUCAUUCCUUAUCAUUAUUACUAAAUUUAAAGAUCAACCACUAGAUAGGUUUGAUCUCAGUCUUAGUUAGUCGAUAUUAGUAAGCUCAGAAUUCAGUCAUCAGUAGACUCGGUUAUUUAGACUCUUAGUGUUAGUAAAUAUAGAUAUCAGUAUUAUUAGACUCAGUAGUCAGAAGUUUAAGUAUUUAGUCCAUGCAUAUAUCCUCAUUCAGUACUCUCAUGUUAUUCAGUUAAGUUAUGUUCAUGCAUAAUCCCUUGCAUUUAGCCUUACAUCAUCUAGCAUACCAGUACAUUUAAAGUACUAACACAUAAUUUUCUCUUGCGCUAUGGUGUCUUAUACCAUAGGUUCAAAUGAGCGAGAACCAGAUCACCCUUAGAAGUCCUGACUCAGCCAGCAGCAGUUGACUUAGCAGUGAGUCCUCAUCAUUCGAGUAUGAUCCUUAUUUUAUUAUGGAAUUAGACUUAGUUAAUUUUUAGUAGACGGAGUUAGUUGGGCACAUGUCCCAUCAACUCCACAGUUCAGACAGUUUAGAGGCUUUUCAGAUAAAUGUAUUAUUAUUUAGUUUUCAGUAUUGAUUAUUUUAGAUAUUUUAACCUUAUGGCAAGUUUCUGCCAGUUUGUAUUUAUUUCAGUAUAUUAUGCAGUGCUCAGUUACAAAUAACAAAGGGUUAGCUUAUGGUCCCUCGGGGUCAUGAACACCGUGUGGCAUGUCGAUUUUCAAAAAUUAGGACAUUACAUGCGAUCUUAGUGUGCCACAUCACCAAUCACAUUGGUUGAUAUUGUUGCAGGUUUCCAUGGUCAACGUACUGAGACUCGACGCGAUGAUGGUGUGACACAUCGACUAUCGCGUCGAUAAUAACAUUAAUGCCCAGUUUCAGUCAUUAAAUGUCUGUAUUUUUAUGGGCAGAAGGGUUAAUUUUGCACCCCUAUAUAAGUCUAAAAUAUGUGAUUUAGCCCCAAUUCAACCAAAAUAUAGUGUCUCUCUCAAGUUUCUCUCAAGAACAAGUUAGAAUUUUCAAUUAAGGAUUCAAAUUCAAUACUCAAAUUCAAGAAUCUCUCCAUCAAUCAUCGUAAAAUCAAGAACUAAGGUAUGUCAAGUGUUAAUUUAUGGAUUUCUUUCAUCCAUGAAGUCCAAGAACCAUCUUUCAAAUUAUAAAACAUGAUAUUUAUGUUGUGAGUUAUUUGUAACCAUGUUUAUCUUGUUGUAUGAUUCUCAAGUUGAAAUCUUUAUGUGUUUUUUAUGAAACUAUGUUAGCAUGCAAGUUGAAAUCUAUGAAAUUUAGUUGUUUAUGAUGUUUAAGUUGAUGAUUGCACCUAUGCCCUAAGUUGUGCAUGUAAGAUGUUUGAAAAAAUGCCUAAGAGGAUAGAAAUUAUGUAUUAUAGCUCAAUUAUAACUCAAAUAAUAAAUGCAUGCUUUACCCUUAUGACCAAGAAUGACUUCCGUGAUAUUGUGUGCAUUAUGAGUAUUUGAUGAAAUGUUCAUAAGAUUAGGUUGAUGAAAGUAUGACAUGUCUAUAUGCAAUUUGAUCCAUGUACAACAUUAUGAUAACCAUGUGCUUCAUGAAAUCUCCAAAUUAUUGUAUUAUAAAUUGUUGAUAUUGGUUAUGUGUUCAAGAAGUAUCAAGUUUUGUCAGUUUCAUGCUAUCGAGUCCUGGGGGUACUUUUACCCAAAAAUUUAGCUGUGUGCCUAGAGCUAGUGUUAGUUUUCAUGAUACUCUCAAUCAAGCCAUGAUCAUUAGAAUUCAGUCAGUUACAUGACUCAGGAAAACUUAGUAAUCUCAAUACUCUUGGUAAUCUCAGUAACCUCAGUAAUCUCAGCUAGUUAUCAGAUCUCAGUAGUAUUCCAUCAGUUAAUGGAAAUUUAGUGAACUCUAUUCAAAUCAACUAAACAAUACUAUCAGUAACAGUUCUGUUCAGUUAAAAUUAGUUUAGUGUCUCUUCAGUUGGGAGUAGGAUUCGGCACCGAGUGAACCCAAGGAUGGGGACUCACCUAUUAGAUAGUAGAGAGUGUUAUCCUUAGAAUCAAUCCUUUCAUUCCAGAACUACGUAGCCAUUUAGGUUGAGAUGUACCCUACAAGUUUAUGAAUUAUACACCUCAUCUGAGUUUUCCUACUAGGAGGGGUUGAUGGAAGAGCUUCCUGUCAGAGAGGGUUUACUCAUAGCUUAUCUUUACACGUGGCACUGUACUGACACCCUUACAGCUGGGGUUAGAGGUUGGACCCCACCAAUUUAGUUUUAGGGUAUGUCUAUUAGAUGAAUACCUCCCAUAAUCUCAAUUUCGAAUCCAGUCUCAGUAAUAGAAUUCAGUUCAGUUCUACAGUUUUAGGACUGUCAGUUAUAGUCGCUCAGCUCAGUACGAAACUCAGCUAGUUCCAUUAGAAUCAGGACUGUCAGACAUAAUCACCCAAUUAAUAAUAUAUUAUUUAUACUAAAUUCAUAUUACUAGUAUUUAGAUUUCAGGACUGUCAGAUACAUCAAAUUAGACCAGUUCUUCAUAAUCAAAACUGUCAGAAACAAUCAUUCCUUUAUCAGUAAUGUGACAUCAGUUCCUCAGUACUCAAUGGACUUAGUCAUUCAGUAUCCCAGUAUUAGUACUCAGAUAUCAUUAAAUCCACGUUAUCAGAAUUCAUGAGUCAGUUUUGUCAUGAUCUCAGUUACAGUUACGUAUUCAUGCAUGUAUUCUCAUGUUCAUGUUAUUCAGUCAGUUAGUAUUGUUCAUGCAUAUGAACCAUUUCAUUCAUCCUACCUCACUUUCAUACCAGUACAUUCAAUCAUACUGACGCAUUUGCGCUAUGAUGUUUUAUACCAUAGAUUCAGAAGCACACGCUCCAGAGUAUUAGUAGCAUUCCAGUUUCAGCAGUCAGUCCUCAUUAUUCGAGGAUGUUAUUAUUUGAUAUUUCAUUUUUUUAGUACUUAGUUUAUUUCAGCAGAUGGAGUUAGUUGGGGGAUUGUCCCAUCAACUCUUUAUUCAGAUAGUUUAGUUUUGGAGGCUUUCAGACUACAGCACGGUCAGACAGUUAUUUUAGUUGUUUUGGUAUUGUUAUACCAUAUUUUAAGUUAUGUAUCAGUAUUGAACCUUAUGGCCUUUCAAUUCUUGUUUUUGUAUUUACAAUAUUACUAUUAUUAUUAUUAUUCAGUUCUCAGUUACAGAUAUUAGUCAUGGGUUAGCUUGUGGUCCUUCGGGAUUAUGAGCACCAUGUAGCCUUUUGGGUACUAGAUUUGGGGCGUUACACUAAGACUAUCUCAUAUCACAGUAUUUGGUUCAAAUAUAUGUUAAUCUAUAAGAAAUAUUUAUCCAAAUCUUAAGCAACUAUGCUUGUGGAUUGUCCAAAUCUUAAGCAACUAUGCUUGUGGAUCCAUGUCUUUCUUUUAAAGGGCUAGUUGAUUAUAUUAUGCUAGAUUUAAUUUUUUGUAAGAUUGUUUAAGAGUUGGUUUAAUUCUUUUUCGUUGGAUAAUUUUGUUUGUUUUGAUAUCAUAAUUUACUAUUUAUUUAAGCUUGAGAAUGUUAUCUUUUUCAUCUCAUCAUUUAUCUAUUACGUGUACGAUUUUCGAACACAUAUUAAUUCUUUUUCUUUUAUCCUUUUCUUUGCAUGAAUCUGUUCUGAAGUCCAUAUGAACUCCUUUCUUCUUGCAUUCCAUAAUGGGCCAACGAGGCCUACCUCUCCUAGUCAACUCCAAAGUUUAAACCCAAAUUCAAUUUUAUGGCGUGUGGGUGCAAGAAGAUGGAAGAAGGAAAAUGGGUCAAAUCCCAUUGAUGAGGUCGCUAAGAGACUUAUUCUUAGCUAUUUGGAACUUAAAUUAUUGUCUUAUUUUUUAUUUAUUUUUGUAUUUAUUUAUUUAUCUAUCUAUUUGUUCAUUCAUUUGGGCUUCGAAUCCAAAGUGGUAAUUUAAUAUAGGUGAAGCAGAUUUUGGGCCUUAAAGGUCCGAAAACUAGCUUAGGACAGGUUAUGGGUAAAAAAUCCAAGUAUUUAGAUUAGGACAGGUGAAGAUGGACCAAAAGUUCAAAUUUGAUUAGGACAAGAUUUAUGGAUUUGGGUCUAAUGGCCUAUGUCCUUUAGUCUCUCCCUUUCACCUUUAUAUGCUAAUUGUUCUUAAUUUUUUAGACUUAGUUAAAAAUCCCCGCUAAGUUGCCAAAAUUCGUUUUGCACAAAUCUUGAAGACAAAUUUUUUCUUUAUCGUUUUCUUUUCAAAAAUCAAUUUCCCUUUUUAAGUUAGUCCAAAAAGUUAUUUUCAAAUAAUCCGAAUAACCGAAAGUUAGCGGAUACUCUUAGUGCCUUAACAAUCUUCCAAGAGUAUUAAUAGGAACCACUUACUCAAAAUUUCUUAACUUAAAUAUAUUUUUUCUGCAUGGAAUUUUCAAGUAAUAUUUUUAGUUUUUCUUUAUAUUUUCUCAAAAAUCAAGUGACGACUCUGUAAUUUCUUAAUUGUUUUGAACUUUUCUUUAAGUUUUUGAAAUAGUUUAAAAAGUUAAAAAUAAUAUUUUCAAACCCUUUGAAUUGAAAAGGGGAAAACAUCAUCCCCUUGACCAUUUUGCUCAACGCAACAUCAUCACUUGUCAUACACACUUUUAAAUAAGCAUCUAGUUCAUAAAUAUAUACUCAAAAUGAACAUUACAAGUGACAUACCGUGAACCUGAAACGUUUAAAAUGAGCUCAUAAAAUCUUUCAAAAAACUUUAUCAUAUUCCUCACAUUUACCCAAUCAUCACUUUGGAUCCUGCAACACUACUAUCUUUACAAACAUUUGUAGAAAGAUAAGAUUUAAAGUUAUCAUCAUAAAGAUCAAACCUCUCAAAAGCCUUCUCAAAUCUUUCUGCCACCUCCAACAUCAAAUAUGUGGAAUUUCACCUAGUAGGCACUCCUAAUGAUAACAUCUUACCAUAUUCCAUCUUUUGCAUUUCACAACAUUUCAUGAAGUUUCUUGUUCUUGCAGUAGAGGAUCUAACGUACUUAACUAUUUGCCUUACCCAUUUGAUAGAAGGACCAAUUUUGUUCAAAUGUCUUGCACAAUUAAAUUAGGUAUGUCGCCAUACAUCUCACGUGGAGAUGUUUACCAUCCAUCACAUUGGUUCCUCAUAUAUUUAACUUCUUAGACAAUGCAGAAAUUGCAACAUUAUUUGAAGAAGCAUUGUUAAUAGUAACAGUGAACACAUUAUCCAAAUUCUUAUCAAGCAAAUAAUUACUAAUACAAUCUGCCAAAUUCUCACAUUUAUGAUUAGUGAUAGGGAAAAAAAUUUAAUAUUCCUUUAUGAAACACCCAAUCUCUAUUAAUAACGUGAGCAGUCAAACACAUAUAGUUAAUUCUCUACAUUGAUGUUCAUGUGUCUGUUGUAAGACAAAAUUUUGGUUGCAUUUCUUCAAAAGAUCACUUCAAGUUUAGUCUCAAUUCACCAUAAGCAUUACAAUAAUCUCUUGUUAUUGUUCUAUGGGAAGGAAUCAAAAAUAAAGGUUGGGCUUUACCCAUAAAUUUCUUAAAACCUUCAUUUUCUACGGAGCUAAAUGGUAGUUUAUCUACAAUUAUUAUCUCGACUAAAGCUCUCCAAAAUACCUCUUACUCAAAUUUUCAAUAUUCUCCCGAGGAAUCCUUUAUUUAAAAAAUUAACAAUAUUUGACCACUAGACGGGGUGGGCGGAGACUUAUACAUUUUGUAUCUAGCCAAAUGUUGUCUAAGUCUACUUUUUUCAUUUUUAGUUGAAUUAGCACCAUAGUUUUGAUGACAAUGUAAAUACGUUGCUUUAGAAAGUUUACCAUUUUCAAAUAUCUUAUAAAAAUGUUCCCAAGCUGUAGAUCUAUUUUUCAUUUCUUUCUUUUUCUUUGAAUCCACAAUGUCAGUUGAGUUGUCAUUGCUAUUAUCGGGUACAUUAUCAGUUGAACCAGCUGCACUAACUCGACUUUCAUUAGCCAUCUAUGUAAAUUAAAAGAGAAAACAAAAUUAGAAGUGUUUACCUUUUGUGAAGUGAGAUUAUUUCAAAAAAUCAAAAAAAUCAGUUUACAAUUGACAAAUUUAGUCAAUCAGUAAAAUGAAAAAUCACUAAAAUAUUAUUUUACAGAAAUAGAACCCUCGAUUAAAAUGGAAAUUUAGAAAAGGGAAGAAGAAAAAUAAAAAAUAAGUAAGCGGUACCUCGUUCGCCGUUCGCCAUUCCCAUUUGUCGUUGGUUCGGUGGUUCAUCGUUCGCCGUUAUUUGGCACUUUUUGCUAUGUAUAGACUAUUGAUAUCAGCCUCUUCACCAAUUUCAUUUUCGCUAAAUAUAAUAGCUAGGUAAUAGGAGUACCUAUUAUUUGGAUUUU